rnacentral:rRNA from 1 species
UGGGGAAUAUUGGACAAUGGGCGAAAGCCUGAUCCAGCCAUGCCGCGUGUGUGAAGAAGGCCUUUUGGUUGUAAAGCACUUUAAGUGGGGAGGAAAAGCUUAUGGUUAAUACCCAUAAGCCCUGACGUUACCCACAGAAUAAGCACCGGCUAACUCUGUGCCAGCAGCCGCGGUAAUACAGAGGGUGCAAGCGUUAAUCGGAAUUACUGGGCGUAAAGCGCGCGUAGGUGGUUAUUUAAGUCAGAUGUGAAAGCCCCGGGCUUAACCUGGGAACUGCAUCUGAUACUGGAUAACUAGAGUAGGUGAGAGGGGAGUAGAAUUCCAGGUGUAGCGGUGAAAUGCGUAGAGAUCUGGAGGAAUACCGAUGGCGAAGGCAGCUCCCUGGCAUCAUACUGACACUGAGGUGCGAAAGCGUGGGUAGCAAACAGGAUUAGAUACCCUGGUAGUCCACGCCGUAAACGAUGUCUACCAGUCGUUGGGUCUUUUAAAGACUUAGUGACGCAGUUAACGCAAUAAGUAGACCGCCUGGGGAGUAUGGUUGCAAAGCUG